rnacentral:piRNA from 1 species
UCAUUUGCCCUCUACAUUGAUAAGGUCUC